GUGGGGAAUCUUGCGCAAUGGGCGAAAGCCUGACGCAGCCAUGCCGCGUGAAUGAUGAAGGUCUUAGGAUUGUAAAAUUCUUUCACCGGGGAAGAUAAUGACGGUACCCGGAGAAGAAGCCCCGGCUAACUUCGUGCCAGCAGCCGCGGUAAUACGAAGGGGGCUAGCGUUGCUCGGAAUUACUGGGCGUAAAGGGCGCGUAGGCGGACAUUUAAGUCAGAGGUGAAAGCCCAGGGCUCAACCUUGGAAUUGCCUUUGAUACUGGCUGUCUUGAGUACGGGAGAGGUGAGUGGAACUCCGAGUGUAGAGGUGAAAUUCGUAGAUAUUCGGAAGAACACCAGUGGCGAAGGCGACUCACUGGCCCGUUACUGACGCUGAGGCGCGAAAGCGUGGGGAGCAAACAGGAUUAGAAACCCCUGUAGUCC
rnacentral:rRNA from 1 species